AUGAAGUGUGUUUUUCUUCCAAUUAUUUAUCAUGGCUAAGGAUACAACAUCUGAUUUUAUUCCUUUUAUGAGUACAUCUCAAGUUAUUCAUAUACAUAACCCAGCCAUUUAAGCCCUAAAUGAUAAACCCACCUAGCUAGUUCUUCCCAUAACGAGCCUUGUAUUCAUUCCACAACUGAUCAACAGGCUUUCCCAGCAACUCAACAAAGAAUUCAUCACUAUAAGUAUCUCUCAUCUUCUUGUUCAGUUCUGCAACAAACCCAUUUCUA
rnacentral:misc_RNA from 1 species